AACCAACCAAACCGUGCUCUUUCGAAGUAAAUUUGCUUCGAUAUACCUUCGAUAGAAGUUCUCUACCGAAGGUGUAUCAACUUUGAUAGGCAGUUCCUACCGAAGUUAGGCUCGGGUGUUUAGCCGAAAUGCUACAAAAGAGAAAGAAAAAAAUCUCUCGUAUGCUGCCGCGUUCUCGCUCACACGCGCGCCCUGCCCCCUUUUAUUUACGUACGUGUUUAUAGCCCCUCCUCCUCCUCCUCCUCCUCUCAUCUAUCUUCCUACCUUAUGUGCAGUGGUUAUGUGUUUUUAAUUGAAAUUGGAAGGAGAGAUAUUCGAUUUAUUUAUUACGUGCGAUUUAAUCAGAGAAUUGAAACAUGGUAGCAGGUGAAUCUACUGUUCAUCACAAGCGGGCCUAACACUUUAACUAUUUGUGAAUUCGCGCGUGAGGACGUAAAAGGCGCAAUAAUAAUGGAGCGGUUCUAACGUAAACAGACCAAAUCGCUCAGCUGAAAAUUUUAUAGAGCGGAAUAGCAUUUCAUUGUAAUAGCAUUGCUAGUAUAUCAUCCGCGCACCCUAUGAACCGUACUUUUCCAAAUAUCUUAAAAAGUACGCAUUGUAUGAAAAAACCGUCUUUACAAGAUCGAUUCAGAAUUUCAAAACACAUUUGGAAAAAGUUUUUGCUAAAAGUGACUUUUGAAAUUUUACUCAGAUUAAUGUUUAUUCCUUUAAAUUAAUUCAUAAAUGGGGUAAGGGAAAUAAUUUAUACUAAUACUAAUAGACCAAGACUCCAUUGCCUGAAAUAUUUAGUGCCUCAAAGUAGUAUAUCCUCUUUGCCAAGCGUUUGAGUUAAACUGAUUCUUCGCAAAAUGUGAAGAGAGCGUUCGGCCCCCCUUCAGAUGCUUCGACAGAGUGAAGCUCCUCCCCUUCCUCCAUUCGUCAUCUAUCAAUUUUUCUCCGCGCACUCACACAUCUACACGCACAUCUGUUCGCAUGGCAACACGUGAGAUGCGUGACAUGCUUUCUCGCUCAUCACGAAGGAUUUGCUUCGAAAGAGCUCGGUUUGGUUGGUUGGGUCUCGUUCAACCCAAGUAGCAACCGAAGCUUUUUUCUCCCAGUUUCAACCCCCUCAUGUCCAAAAACUGCCUUCGCUUACUAUUCCUAUCCCGUUUCUACAUUCCACAACGUUUGUUGCGUUCUCGCUCAUCAGGGUGUUAGUCAAUUCUCUCUUGCCACACGAAGAGAAUUCUCCUGCACACUUCGUAUGUUGGAUUCUACCCAUCCCUGUUGAACACACGUCAUUUUCUUCCAUCGCACUCAUCAGGGUGUUUGCUCUUUUCCAUCCAAGCCAAAGAGCGACUUCAGUGUGCUCUGAACCGUGGAUGUGAGAGUGUGUGUUUGUGUGCUGCGUGAACUAUUUUUCCUGCGUGAAACACUUUCCAUACUGCGCCAUCCGCGGUGUUCUUUCUGCUUCAUCGGAGGACGAAUUUUUAUCAUCUAAUUGUUUGGUUUCAGAUGUGUGCUGCUACCGCUAGCUGUUCCUCAAACUACUUAAAAAGUGUGACACUGUGUGCACAGGCGUUAGAGUUUCAAUUGAUCCUCAAGCACAAAGCCUUCAUACAACACCGCGGUUGAGGCGCGCCAAAUCUGAUGACAUCUUUCCUGAACCAAGCAGGCUGAACACGCGCACCACCACGGGCUCCAGCGCGGUGUGAAGAGGGAAGAAGAAAAGACAGAAUUGGAAACAGCCGCGCCAGGCUUCCAACCACCGUGUGUGUGUAUGUAAGUAUGUGAGAACACAUGUGUGAAUCUUCUUGUGGGAACUGCAAAAAGAAGAGAAUAAAGAGUGUGAAGCAGCUAGACUGCCGCAACCAAAUCAAGAGAGUGAAUUCUCAUUUCAAUCCGAAAAACUGGGAGAGAGUCUGGGGUCGAAAAACUGGGACAUGCGAGAGAGAAUAAAACUAGAAACACGAGAGAGGACACGAAGCGCUUUCGGGUUUUUUUUCGCCUUCGCGCACAUUUUGCUUUAUGCGCGCGAAAAAGUGAGCCUUGAUCAGCGCGAUGGCUCCCAUACAAAGGCCUUCGGCUUUGCUAU